AGUGAACGCUGGCGGUAGGCCUAACACAUGCAAGUUGAACGGCAGCACAGAGGAGCUUGCUCCUUGGGUGGCGAGUGGCGGACGGGUGAGGAAUACAUCGGAAUCUACUCUGUCAUGGGGGAUAACGUAGGGAAACUUACGCUAAUACCGCAUACGACCUACGGGUGAAAGCAGGGGACCUUCGGGCCUUGCGCGAUUGAAUGAGCCGAUGUCGGAUUAGCGAGUUGGCGGGGUAAAGGCCCACCAAGGCGACGAUCCGUAGCUGGUCGGAGAGGAGGAUCAGCCACACUGGAACUGAGACACGGUCCAGACUCCUACGGGAGGCAGCAGUGGGGAAUAUUGGACAAUGGGCGCAAGCCUGAUCCAGCCAUACCGCGUGGGUGAAGAAGGCCUUCGGGUUGUAAAGCCCUUUUGUUGGGAAAGAAAUCCAGCUGGCUAAUACCCGGUUGGGAUGACGGUACCCAAAGAAUAAGCACCGGCUAACUUCGUGCCAGCAGCCGCCGCAG
rnacentral:rRNA from 1 species